rnacentral:rRNA from 1 species
AUUGAACGCUGGCGGCAGGCCUAACACAUGCAAGUCGAGCGAGCGGCGGACGGGUGAGUAAUGUCUGGGAAACUGCCUGAUGGAGGGGGAUAACUACUGGAAACGGUCGCUAAUACCGCAUACCAUCAGAUGUUACCAGAAGGGAUUAGCUGGGAGGUGGGGUAACGGCUCACCUAGGCGACUAUCCCUAGCUGGUCUGAGAGGAUGACCAGCCACACUGGAACUGAGACACGGUCCAGACUCCUACGGGAGGCAGAAGUGGGGAAUAUUGGACAAUGGGCGCAAGCCUGACACAGCCAUGCCGCGUGUGUGAAGAAGGCCUUCGGGUUGUAAAGCACUUUCAGCGGGGAGGCGUUACCCGCAGAAGAAGCACCGGCUAACUCCGUGCCAGCAGCCGCGGUAAUUC